CAGUAACAACAGCUACUAUCUGAUCUCUGCCGCCAGACAGACUUCCUGGCCAGCAUCACUAAACGGAGCAUCCAGAAGGAAGGGGCCUUUUCUCUUUACCGAUAUUUUUGCCGCAGACCUGAGGGGCUUGCCUUAUCCCUGAGGAACAAGUGCCUGCCAGGCUAGGGCAGCCACCCACAGGAGCCUAAGUAAAACUAGCUAGCUGGCUCCCCACUUGCUUCUGCAAGGGUGGCAUCCCACUGUCCUGUGAAGGUCAAUCCAGAUUACCCCAGCUGCUGCUGCUCAUCUUCUUGAGCAUGCACCAGAAAUAAACAUUCCACAAACAAUCUGCAGCUGGGACCAGAGGCCAAGCGGUGGCGGCGGCAGUGGCUGGAGGUAUGGGUGAGCAGGAUGUUACAGUUGCUGUCUCAGGAACAAAUGCUUCUAAGUUUCCUCUUGGCGUGGAGUUCUGCGUUGGCACAGAUCCUUUCUCCUCUGAGUGCAUGGAAACAGUCUGCCACCUUCUGAUUCUUGUUAUUUCUGUUGAGAAGUCCACUGUCGCCGGGCGUGGUGGCGCAUGCCUUUAAUCCCAGCACUUGGGAGGCAGAGGCAGGUGGAUUUCUGAGUUCGAGGCCAGCCUGGUCUACAGAGUGAGUUCCAGGACAGCCAGGGCUACACAGAGAAACCCUGUCUCAAAAAACAAACAAACAAACAAGAGAAGUCCACUGUCAUUUAACACCUCCCCUUGCUCCUUUAAAAAUGAAACAUCCUUUUUCUUCUCUA